GUCUGCAACCCGACUACAUGAAGCUGGAAUCGCUAGUAAUCGCGGAUCAGAAUGCCGCGGUGAAUACGUUCCCGGGUCUUGUACACACCGCCCGUCACACCAUGGGAGGUCGGAAAUGCCCGAAGCCGGUGACCUAACCUUUCAGGAAGGAGCCGUCGAAGGCAGGUCUGAUAACUGGGGUGAAGUCGUAACAAGGUAUC
rnacentral:rRNA from 1 species